rnacentral:rRNA from 1 species
GACGAACGCUGGCGGCGUGCUUAACACAUGCAAGUCGAGCGAACAGACCCUGCUUUUGCUCCUCUCACGUUAGCGGCGGGCGGGUGAGUCACGCGUGGACAACCCACCUCUAAGACUGAAAUCUCUUCGAGAAACUGUAGCACAUACCAGAUGAUAUAUUGAACCGCAUGGUUGAAUAGUUAAUUCCGUUUUUGCUGUCACUUCUAGCUGUCUCCUCGCCGGUUGAGCUAGUUGGUACGGUAACGGCUUACCAAGGCAACGAUGCGUGGCCGACCUGAGAGGGUGAUCGGCCACACUGGAACUGAGACACGGUCCAGACUCCGACGGGAGGCAGCAGUAGGGAAUCGUCCGCAAUGGGCGAAAGCCUGACGGAGCAACGCAGCGUGAGUGAUGAAGGUCUUCGGAGCGGAAAACUCUGUUAGUGGGGAAGAACAAAUGUGUAAGGAACUAAGCACGUCGUGACGGUACCUAAUCAGAAAGCCACGGCUAACUACGUG